GUGUCAGCAGCCGCGGUAAAACGUAGGAGACGAGCGUUAUCCGGAUUUACUGGGCGUAAAGCGCGUGCAGGCGGUUAGGAAAGUCGUGCGUGAAAGCUCCUGGCUUAACCGGGAGAGGUCGUACGAAACUUCCUGACUUGAGGGCAGGUGAGGGGUGUGGAAUUCCGGGUGUAGUGGUAAAAUGCGUAGAUAUCCGGAGGAACACCAGUGGCGAAGGCGGCACCCUAGACUGUACCUGACGCUCAGACGCGAAGGCAUGGGGAGCGAACGGGAUUAGAAACCCCUGUAGUCC
rnacentral:rRNA from 1 species